CGUUUUUCUCUUUUAUAAAGGAAAAACUAUUUCUUCAAUUCAUUUUCUUCUUCUUCCCAACUGUAAAUCUUCAUCGAGAAGAACGAUUAUUUGAUGGAGUUACUGCUAUGAAGAUUUGAAAUCUCCACUUUACUCAUUUUCAUUUUCAUUUCUUUUCUAUUCCAGACACAAUCUAUGUGUCCUUUCUUCAUCUUCAUCUUCUCCGUCUCCAUCUUCAUCUUCUUUUCUCUGUAAAUUUCUAGAUCUGAAAAUGAUUUUGGUUCGAUUACGUCCUGAUACAUAUGCUGGUUCGAUUGAGAAACAUACACAGAGUCUGUGGGUUUAUGAAGGAUCUGAGAUGGUUUACAUACCGAUGAGUCACGUGCCGGGAUUGUAUAAGAUUUUCGAUGAGAUCUUAGUGAACGUUGCUGAUAAUAAAUAAAGAGAUCCGAAGAUGGGUGAGGUGAGGGUUGAUAUUGAUGUUGAAGGGAAUACUAUUAGUGUAUAUAAUGACCUACCAUUCUUAGGUGAAACUUGGGAUUCAACUAAGAAACUAUGGAAACUUGGUAUUAGUUUUUGGUACAAAAACUUGGGAUUCAACUUUCUUUGAAUGGGAGAAGGUAAAGAAGCAUAGAAAGGGAGUUCGACAACCUACUACUACUGAUGAUACCACCUAUCUACUGCCAGCGAUUUUAUAUGAAUAUGGUCGGAAUUCAGCCGGAUUUGUUUACAUUAAGCAUUCUGAUUAACUGUUAUUGUAAGUUAGGUGAUGUUGAUUGUGGAUUUUGUGUGUUUGGUGAAAUGAUUAAGAGGGGUUAUAUGUGGAACUGUUAUAUGUGGGCUUUGUAGAAUUUGGGAAGUUGAUCUUGAUCUAGAGUUGCAUAGAAAUAUGGUGAAAUGGAAAUGCAGUCCUAAGUUGAUCACUUAUAAUUUGUUGAUACAUGGAUUUUGUAAUGUUGGCCGGGUAAGUGAAGCAAUGAGAGUCUUUGAUGAGAUGUUGAGUCGAGGAAUUUCAGCCGAUGUUGUCACUUAUACAUGUUUAAUUCAUGCUUUGUGUCAAUAUGGUUUUUUAAUGAAAACCAGAGAGUAUUUUGAACAAAUGGUGGGUAUAGGGAUAUCACCUGACAUAGUAACGUUCACUGUAUUAAUAUAUUCUUAUUGUAAAGCAGGGAGCCUACUGUAGUAACUUAUAAUUCGAUGAUUAAUGGGUACUGCAUGAAUGACA